UGCAAUAAGCUUCGGUACCGCGACUGCUGAAAAAUGAAAAAUGUUUAUUUUAAAGUGAGUAAUUAAGUGUUUAGUUGAAAUUAAACAGUGAAUUAUGGUGCCACACCUUUCUUCGGCUUUAUACAACACAAAUAUGGGUUGCAGCUGCAUUGCAUUUUUGCCAAUGAUGAUGAUGAUGUCAUCCGCAGAGUAACAGCAAAUGCGCUGAAUACGCUGAACACACACACACAAUAAAUCAGGGGCCGAUCUCUCUGCGCUUAUGCUCAUGCUCAAGUCUGACAGCUGGAGACCUGACUCCGACUCCGCCGAUGCCGCAGUCGAUGCAGACAGCGACAGCGAAUGAAGUGGAGCAGCUGCCAGAGAUUAGUCAGUUUUAGUGACUGGCGGCGCACUUUAAUUCUCUUGGGGCUAGGCCAAGCUGCUCAACUGGUUUUCUGCUCGCCUCCAAGGGGCAUCGGGAGCUGCUGAGCUGGAAGUGUGCUCAAAGAUCAAGAAAAAAAUAUGGUCGCACUGCUCUGGAUUUGGCGGCGUAUUAAGACAAAGAUAGUCUGGUGCUGUAUCUGCUAGAGAAGGGCGUCAAUCUGAAGCACAUUGAUGUGAACAGCAAGCGUCCUUUGGUUUCUUUGAUUGUCUUUACCAACAUCCAGGCGGUGCAGGUGUUUCUGCGCAAGAGCAACACCCUGGAGGUGCUGCCGAACAAAUUGCUGGAGGAUGACAAUGUUCCGUAUCGCAAGAGUCGUUUCCAGGACGCGGCAAAUUACGAUCUUCGGUCUUCAGCAGCUGCUUGAGAGGAACACUGAAUUUCCCCACCUUCACACCAAUCUGCUGCAAGAGAAAACUCAAUAAACUCGACGCCUCCACGCAAGCUAUUCUCCGGGUACUGCUCAGCUAUGACGGUAACUAUGCUCGAGCCAAGGCGCACUCGAUCCCAACGAUUCCAUGCAAAAUUCUGCGUAGAGCGGUAGUCCAUUGCGAGAUCGUUGAAGUCCUUAAGCGCAUUACCAUCGAAGAUCAGACUACUUCUGGCAAUUUAACCAAUGAUGGAGCGGAAGCAGCAGCGGGUGUAUGUGCUGUCUACGAAACUCAGUUAGAGAUCCCCGAUAUGUAAAUGUGCUCAACGUUUUUGUUAUUAUACGUCCUAUCGCGAUCGAAUCACAUGUUAUUAGAUUUUAGUUCUUAACUACUUUCAUAUAUGUAUUGUGUUUGAAUGUUUUAAUUUUACAAAUGUAUUUGUUCUAUUUAUUUUAAUUUCGCAUUUACAAACUACUUCUAUUCAACUUCACUCACUUAGGUUUAUCUUGAAUAAUUAAAUAAUGGAGGAUUGUAAAAAUAUUUGAGUUAAGAUAAUUGU